rnacentral:rRNA from 1 species
GAUGAACGCUGGCGGCGUGCCUAAUACAUGCAAGUCGAGCGAACGGACGAGAAGCUUGCUUCUCUGAUGUUAGCGGCGGACGGGUGAGUAACACGUGGAUAACCUACCUAUAAGACUGGGAUAACUUCGGGAAACCGGAGCUAAUACCGGAUAAUAUUUUGAACCGCAUGGUUCAAAAGUGAAAGACGGUCUUGCUGUCACUUAUAGAUGGAUCCGCGCUGCAUUAGCUAGUUGGUAAGGUAACGGCUUACCAAGGCAACGAUGCAUAGCCGACCUGAGAGGGUGAUCGGCCACACUGGAACUGAGACACGGUCCAGACUCCUACGGGAGGCAGCAGUAGGGAAUCUUCCGCAAUGGGCGAAAGCCUGACGGAGCAACGCCGCGUGAGUGAUGAAGGUCUUCGGAUCGUAAAACUCUGUUAUUAGGGAAGAACAUAUGUGUAAGUAACUGUGCACAUCUUGACGGUACCUAAUCAGAAAGCCACGGCUAACUACGUGCCAGCAGCCGCGGUAAUACGUAGGUGGCAAGCGUUAUCCGGAAUUAUUGGGCGUAAAGCGCGCGUAGGCGGUUUUUUAAGUCUGAUGUGAAAGCCCACGGCUCAACCGUGGAGGGUCAUUGGAAACUGGAAAACUUGAGUGCAGAAGAGGAAAGUGGAAUUCCAUGUGUAGCGGUGAAAUGCGCAGAGAUAUGGAGGAACACCAGUGGCGAAGGCGACUUUCUGGUCUGUAACUGACGCUGAUGUGCGAAAGCGUGGGGAUCAAACAGGAUUAGAUACCCUGGUAGUCCACGCCGUAAACGAUGAGUGCUAAGUGUUAGGGGGUUUCCGCCCCUUAGUGCUGCAGCUAACGCAUUAAGCACUCCGCCUGGGGAGUACGACCGCAAGGUUGAAACUCAAAGGAAUUGACGGGGACCCGCACAAGCGGUGGAGCAUGUGGUUUAAUUCGAAGCAACGCGAAGAACCUUACCAAAUCUUGACAUCCUUUGACCCUUCUAGAGAUAGAAGUUUCCCCUUCGGGGGACAAAGUGACAGGUGGUGCAUGGUUGUCGUCAGCUCGUGUCGUGAGAUGUUGGGUUAAGUCCCGCAACGAGCGCAACCCUUAAGCUUAGUUGCCAUCAUUAAGUUGGGCACUCUAAGUUGACUGCCGGUGACAAACCGGAGGAAGGUGGGGAUGACGUCAAAUCAUCAUGCCCCUUAUGAUUUGGGCUACACACGUGCUACAAUGGACAAUACAAAGGGCAGCGAAACCGCGAGGUCAAGCAAAUCCCAUAAAGUUGUUCUCAGUUCGGAUUGUAGUCUGCAACUCGACUACAUGAAGCUGGAAUCGCUAGUAAUCGUAGAUCAGCAUGCUACGGUGAAUACGUUCCCGGGUCU